rnacentral:rRNA from 1 species
AUUGUCUUUUUGAUAAUAAUUUCAAGUCUAAUCUGCUCAAUGAUGAUUUAAAUUGCCGCAGUAUUUUGACUGUGCAAAGGUAGCAUAAUAAUUAGCUUCUUAAUUAGGAGCUUGAAUGAAGGAUUGGACAAGAAGGUAACUGUCUCUUUUUAAUUAUUAUAUAAUUUUAUUUUUAAGUUAAAAAGCUUAAAUUUUUUUAAAAGACGAGAAGACCCUAUAGAGUUUAAUAAAUUAAUUUGUUAGGGUAUUAGAAGUUCUAUUAAAAAAAUUUAUUUGAUUGGGGUGAUUAGAAGAUUAAAAUAAUUCUUUUAUAAUUAAAUUGAUGAUUAUUAAAUUUUAAGUCUUAUAUUUUAAAGAUUAAAAUAAAUUACCUUAGGGAUAACAGCGUAAUUUUUCUAUAAAGUUCUUAUUGAAAGAAAAGUUUGCGACCUCGAUGUUGGAUUAAAAUUAAUUUUUGGUGUAGAAGCUAAAAAAUUGGGUCUGUUCGACCUUUAAAAUU